AGAGCGAACGCUGGCGGCGUGCUUAACACAUGCAAGUCGAACGCGCAGCAUUCUGUAGCAAUACAGGGUGUGGGCGCGUGGCGAACGGGUGCGUAACACGUGGAUAACCUUCCUUGAGGUGGGAAUAACCCAGUGAAAAUUGGGCUAAUACCGCAUAACAUCGCGAUGGCACAUGCUGAUGCGAUCAAAGGCGCAAGUCGCCACAAGAGGGAUCCGCGGCCGAUUAGCUUGUUGGCGAGGUAAUGGCUCACCAAGGCAAUGAU
rnacentral:rRNA from 1 species